rnacentral:lncRNA from 1 species
UUUGAAGGUGGGAGCUCAUAGCCAAAAGAAACACAACUAGCAAACACAAUUAGCACACUCUCUUAUUACACUCUAGCUUCUCUAGGCCUAUCUCAACUCUUUUUGCCCUUACACUCAUCAUCAAUCAUCCACAUAUUCAAAUCAACCAACUCUCACAUUCGUUAAGCACAAAACAUUAGGUGAAUUCUUGCAAAUGGUCAGUUGGUCCAAGUCAUUUGGUUGGGUAAGGGAAGGCUUUUAUUCAAGUGAUUCAAGAGGUUCAAAACAUAUGAUCUUUAAAGUGGUUUACUCUCGAAACAAGUAGCCUUGACAUUGCACAUAAUAUAUC